rnacentral:tRNA from 1 species
AAUGAAGUGCCUGAUAAAAAGGGUUAUCGUGAUAGGAUAAAUCAUGUAAUUACUGUUACCUUCAUUA